GCGCCUGUAGCUCAGCUGGAUAGAGCGCUGCCCUCCGGAGGCAGAGGUCUCAGGUUCGAAUCCUGUCGGGCGCACCA
rnacentral:tRNA from 1 species